rnacentral:rRNA from 1 species
ACUCCUACGGGAGGCAGCAGUAGGGAAUAUUGGUCAAUGGGUGAGAGCCUGAACCAGCCAUGCCGCGUGCAGGAAGACGGCCUUCUGGGUUGUAAACUGCUUUUACCAGGGGAUAAAAAGAUCUUGCGAGAUUAAUUGAAGGUACCUGGAGAAUAAGCACCGGCUAACUACGUGCCAGCAGCCGCGGUAAUACGUAGGGUGCAAGCGUUGUCCGGAUUUAUUGGGUUUAAAGGGUGCGUAGGCGGGCUAUUAAGUCAGUGGUGAAAUCCAGCAGCUUAACUGUUGAUGUGCCAUUGAUACUGGUAGUCUUGAGUACAGAUGAGGUAGGCGGAAUUGACAGUGUAGCGGUGAAAUGCAUAGAUAUUGUCAAGAACUCCGAUAGCGAAGGCAGCUUACUGGGCUGUAACUGACGCUGAUGCACGAAAGUGUGGGGAUCAAACAGGAUUAGAUACCCUGGUAGGAUAGCGU